UCAGCCUCCCGAGUAGCUGGGAUUACAGGUGCCCGCCACCAUGCCCAGUGAAUUUUUGUAUUUUUAGUGGAGACGGUAUUUCACCAUGUUGGCCAGGCUGGUCUCGAACUCCUGACCUCAGGUGAUCCACCUGCCUCGGCCUCCCAAAGUGCUAGGAUUACAGGCGUGAGCCACCACGCCCGGCCAACUGGUGUUUUUUUUUUUUAUUGCUGUUCCCAUAAUGGGCUAGGCUCUUAAAUUUAUAGCUUCAUGCAAGUAUAGUUGACCCUUGAUAAACACAAUUUUGAACAGCAUAGGUCCCCUUAGACUUCCCUCUGCCUCUGCCACUGCUGAGAUGGCAACCCUUUCUCUUUCUCCUUCUCCUUGCCUGCUCAACCUGAAGAUCAUGAGGAGGAAGACCUUUAUGCUGAUCCACUUCCACUGAAUGAAUGAAGGGUAAACAUAUUUUCUCUUGCUUAUGAUUUUCUUAAUAACAUUUUCUUUUCUAUAGUUUACUUUAUGGUAAGAAAUACAUAUAUAAUACAAAUGACAUAUAAAAUAUAUGUUAAUCAACUUGUUUAUGCUAUUGGUAAGUCUACUAUUAGUAGCUAAGUUUUUGGAGAGUCAAAAUUUAUAUGUGGCUCAUGCCUGUAAUCUCAGCACUUAGGGAGGCCGAAGCAGGCGGAUCACAAGGUCAGGAAAUCAAGACCAUCCUGGCUAAUAUGGUGAAAUUCCGUCUCUACUAAAAUACAAAAAAUUAGCUGGGCAUGGUGGCAUGCAGCUGUAGUCCCAGCUACUCAGGAGGCUGAGGUAAGGGAAUCGUCUGAACCCGGGAGGCAGAGGUUGCAGUGAGCAGAGAUUGCACUGAGCAGAGAGAGCCACUGCACUUCAGCCUGGUGACAGUGCGAGACUCUGUCUCAAAAAAAAAAAAAAAAAAAAGUUAUACGUGUGCGCCAGGUGCGGCAGCUCACACCUGUAAUCCCCUACUUUGGGAGGCUUAGGCGGGUGGGUCGCCUGAGGUCAGGAGUUUGAGACAAGCCUGACCAACAUGGUGAAUCCCAUCUCUACCAAAAAUACAAAAAUUAGUUAGGCAUGGUGGCAGGCACCUGUAAUCCCAGCUACUUGGGAAGCUGAGGCAGGAGAAUUGCUUGAACCCGGGAGGCGGAGGUGGCAGUGAGCUGAGAUCACGCCAUUGCACUCCAGCUUGGGCAACAAGCAAGAUUCUGUCUCAAAAAAAAAAAAAAGUUUUAUGAGGAUUUUUGACUGUACAAGGGGUGGGAUCCCAUAGGCCCUGUGCUGUUCAAGGCUCAACUGUAAUUAAUUCUACAGAUAUCUUGUGGAUUACCGGCUCAUGUAUUCAUUCACCAAGUGUUUAGUAAAUGCCUGCUAUAUGCCAGGUAUUCUGUUUAUGGAGCACGUAAUUGGGGAGGAGGUGGCAUGUGAUGGUUCAUUUUCUAGCUGGCUGAGAUGAUGGGACAUAGUAUCACUACUAGCUCCAGGGAGGUGGAGACAUCUAUGACCCUUUCAGGCAGAUGAAUGAGCAAGGAAAUAGGAUCAAGUCUCAUACAUUUCACAUGGGCAGAAAUUUGGCAGAGACAGAACACCAGGUUAGCAGCAAAUAUUGCUAAGAACUAGAGCCAGGAACUAGAAAGUAUAUAGACUAAAAGUCAAUGCCUUCAAUCUUUUGCUUUAUUUUUACUUUUUUUUAAUAAUGGGGUAUAAAUAAAUAAAAAUAUAAAACAGAGUAGAUAAUUAUCUAGAGCACUCAUAAAUAAGUUCUAGAUAGCUAAGUUUCUCUCUUUAAGCAUGAAAACCCUUAACCAUUUGGAAUGCUCGAAAUUAAAAAACACCACACAUAUUACUCUGCCUCUUUAAGUUGAAUCUAAUUUAACAUUUUCUAGGUGUCUGGAUCAUAUGUAUUCCAGAGUAAAGUCACGAUGGCUUUAUGACGUUCUGAGGUACGUUCCAAACAGGUGAGGUAUUGCACACUAGCAAACACAUGAUAAGAAGGUGGAGGAAUUGGGAGAAAAAUAAAAAGAAUGCAGCAGGCCAGGUUAGCAGGAACGUUAAGACGGUGACAGGAACAGCAAAGCCUGGAAGCAAGCCGCCGUGGAGAAGGAAGAACUGUGCUGGGUACCUCACUCUGUUGCCCAGGCUGGAGUGCAGCGGCACAAUCACAGCUCACUGCAGUUUCAACUUCCUGGGUUCAAGUGAUCCUCCUGCCUGAGCCUCCCAAAUAGCUAGGACUAUAGGCUAUAGUACAGUGGCGUGAUCUUGGCUCCCUGCAACCUCUGUCUUCCAGGUUCAAGCAGUUCUACUGCCUCAGCCUCCUGAGUAGCUGGGAUUACAGAUUCAGGGACAGACAGGAUCUUACUCUUCCUGAUCUCCAGAUUACUCUUUGCAGCUGGAAAGCUCCUCCGCUUUCAUCUCUACUUGACUAGAAUCUUACCAUCCCCUUUAAGGCCCAGCUAAAAUGCCACUUUCUUUCAGAAGACCACAUACCAUUAUUGAUUGACUGAUUGAUUGACUGACUGACUGACUGAGACACGGCCUCACUCCUGUUGCCCAGGCUGGUGCAGUGGUGCGAUCAUGGCUCACUGCAGCCUUGACUUCUGGGGCUCUGGUGCAUCCUCUCACUUCAGUCUCCUGAGUAGCUGGGACUACAGACACAUGCUACCAUGCCCAGCUAAUGCAAAUAUCAUUUUUAAAAGGCGACUCAACUGGACGCCUCAUAUGAGCUCCCAUGGCUGCCCAGACAUGCUUUCAUGUCAGUGAUUAUGUAAUUUUUUUUGUAAAUUAGCUUAUGCAAAUAAUCUUGUGAACCCUAACUUAUACAUGCUUCUGCAAAGAAACAUGUUUAACAAUAAAGUUAUAUUGGAAUUCAAAACAUAAUGUUUUAUGGAAUGUAAGACAUUGGGGUAUAGAUAAAAAGUGGCUGGAAAAAAUAUAUAUAUUUAUUUUUAGAGAUGAGGUCUCCUUCUGUCAUCUAGGUUGGAAUGCAGUGGCAUCAUCAUAGCUCACUGCAGUCUCAAAUUCCUGGGCUCAAAUGAUCCUCCCACCUUGGUCUCCUGAGUAGCUGGGACUAUAGGUGCAUGCCAUCAUGCCUGGCUAAUUAAAAAAAAAUUUUAUUUAUUUAUUUUUGAGACAGAAUCUUGCUCUGUUGCGCAUGCUGGAGUGUAGAGGUAUGAUCUUGGCUCGAUGCAGCCUCAACGUCCUGAGUUGAGCGGAGGACCCCGGGCUCCAGUGAUCCUUCCACCUCAGCUUCCCAAGCAGCAGGAAAUACAGGCAUAUGCCACACAGCCCAGUUAAUUCUGUUCACUUUUUGUAGAGAUGAGGUAUCACUAUGUUGCCCAGGCUGAUCUUGAACUCCUGGACUCAACUGAUCCUCUCGCCUUGGCCUCCCAAAGUGCUGGGGUUACAGGCGUGAGCCACCGUGCCUGACCUGGAACAUUGUAUUUAAAAGAAAUUCUUGGCCAGGGGCAAUGGCUUACGCCUGUAAUCUCAGCAUUUUGGGAGGCUGAGGCGGGUGGAUUGCUUGAGCUCAGGAGUUCGAGACCAUCCUGGGCAACAUGGUGAAACCCUGUUUCUACAAAAAAUACAAAAAAAAAUUAGCCAGGCAUGGUGGCUCACGCCUGUAGUUCCAAUUACUCAGGAGGCUGAGGCUGGAGAAUUGCUUGAUCUGGGAAGCAGAGGUUGCAGUGAGCUGAGAUUGCACCACUGCACACCAGCCUGAAUGACAGAGUAAGACCAUGUCUCAAAAAAAAAAAAAAAAAAAAAAAGGAAAAGAAAUUCUCAAACAGGAAGGUUUAGAUUAUGAUGAAAUUUGUGGCUAUGAACUAGAAUAAAGUCUAAACAUGUAGAAGUAAUAUACCUAGACUUUUAAAAUUGGAAGGGUCCUUGAAAGUCAUUUAGGACAAUCUCCCUAUUUUAUAGCAGUAGAAUUUUUGGACCCCGCUUUGUAUUAUGGUCAGAAGUCUCUUUGUUUUGUUAAUGCUGCUUAAUUUUCAUCUAGCUUAUCUUUGGUCUCUUUAUAUUGUGAUUCCAGUGCUACCUGAAGAAAGCUUUUUGCACUGAAUAAUGGAUUUUUUUCUGCAGGGCCAGACCUGACUUUGGUCCAAAGGGAACUAAACUGCAGGACCUCCUUUGAUUUUAAAGGUCGCUAACUUUAGUGAUGCUAAUUCUGAACCUCUGAGGAAAGAAUUGUU